UACAGAGGUCCCAAGCGUUGUUCGGAUUCAUUGGGCGUAAAGGGUGCGUAGGUGGCGGGGCCAGUCAGGUGUGAAAUCCCGGGGCUUAACCCUGGAACUGCAUUUGAUACUGCCUUGCUGGAGAACUGGAGAGGAGACUGGAAUUUACGGUGUAGCAGUGAAAUUCGUAGAUAUUAGGAAGAACACCAGUGGCGAAGGCGGGUCUCUGGGCCGUAACUGACGCUGAGGAGCGAAAGCGUGGGGAGCGAACAGG
rnacentral:rRNA from 1 species